rnacentral:tRNA from 1 species
AAAAAAUUAGUUAAAAUAUAACAUUAACUUGUCAAGUUAAAAUUAUCUAAUAAGAUAUUUUUUA